UAACAAGGAUUCCCCUAGUAACUGCGAGUGAAGCGGGAAGAGCUCAAAUUUAAAAUCUGGCGGCUUUCAGUCGUCCGAGUUGUAAUCUGGAGAGGCAUUUUCCGCGUUGGACCGUGUACAAGUCUCCUGGAACGGAGCGUCAUAGAGGGUGAGAAUCCCGUCCAUGACACGGACCGCCAAUGCUCUGUGAUAUGCCUUCGAAGAGUCGCGUUGUUUGGGAAUGCAGCGCAAAAUGGGUGGUAAAUUCCAUCUAAAGCUAAAUAUGGGCGAGAGACCGAUAGCGAACAAGUACCGUGAGGGAAAGAUGAAAAGCACUUUGAAAAGAGAGUUAAACAGUACGUGAAAUUGUUGAAAGGGAAACGCUUGAAGUCAGUCGCGUUCCGUGGAACUCAGCCUUACUUCGGUUUGGUGUACUUUCCAUGUGAACGGGUCAACGUCAAUUUUGGCCGGUGGACAAAGGCAAGGGGAACGUAGCGUCGCUUCGGUGACGUGUUAUAGCCCCUCGUUGUAUACACCGGCUGGGAUUGAGGACCGCAGCACGCCCUUAGUUGUGGCCGGGAGGUUCGCCUCUACGUUACCGUGCUUAGGAUGUUGGCAUAAUGGCUUUAAGCGACCCGUCUUGAAACACGGACCAAGGAGUCUAACAUGCUUGCGAGUGUUCGGGUGGAAAACCCUUGCGCGUAAUGAAAGUGAAAGGUUAGGAGCCCUUCUCUSUAGAGGGGUGCACUGACGCCCGGCCCUGAAGUUCUCUGACGGUGCUGCGGUAGAGCAAGCACGUUGGGACCCGAAAGAUGGUGAACUAUGCCUGAAUAGGGCGAAGCCAGAGGAAACUCUGGUGGAGGCUCGUAGCGAUUCUGACGUGCAAAUCGAUCGUCAAAUUUGGG
rnacentral:rRNA from 1 species